rnacentral:rRNA from 1 species
UGGGGAAUAUUGCACAAUGGGCGCAAGCCUGAUGCAGCAAUGCCGCGGGUGUGAAGAAGGCCUUCGGGUUGUAAAGCACUUUCAGCGGGGAGGAAGGCGUUAAGGUUAAUAACCUUGGCGAUUGACGUUACCCGCAGAAGAAGCACCGGCUAACUCCGUGCCAGCAGCCGCGGUAAUACGGAGGGUGCAAGCGUUAAUCGGAAUUACUGGGCGUAAAGCGCACGCAGGCGGUCUGUCAAGUCGGAUGUGAAAUCCCCGGGCUCAACCUGGGAACUGCAUUCGAAACUGGCAGGCUAGAGUCUUGUAGAGGGGGGUAGAAUUCCAGGUGUAGCGGUGAAAUGCGUAGAGAUCUGGAGGAAUACCGGUGGCGAAGGCGGCCCCCUGGACAAAGACUGACGCUCAGGUGCGAAGGCGUGGGGAGCAAACAGG